AGAGACCGGUCUCCCUUUCACUCCCUCUCUAACGCUUGCUCUCCCUUCUCUCUAGAACCUUGUUGUUCUCUCCUCCUUCUCCAACAAGCUUCAUCGCCUCUCCGGCCAUGCUCUAUCAAGGCUUCUCUCGACCUCUAGUCACCAUGGAAUCCUAUAUCGUUUCUUCGCUCCAAGGUUUGAAGCCCUAGAAGCUUCCACCAUGAUAGACGGUCAUUAAAGCCUCGUCGGGGUCCGUUUCCGGCCUUUCUCCAAUGGAUUUUACUCCAAUGAUGCUGAAAAUACCACUAUCCUUGAGUUUCACAAGCAGGCUUCUCUUCCCUUUCUCACUGGUUUCUUAUUAAGCCCUGAUCUUGACAAAAACCUCUCAAAUCUCUGGGUUUUUUUAACGAUUUUAACGCAUACCUUUAUCUUUUGCACUAUUUUCUACUCGAUCUUUAAGAUUACUCCAGUUUUAAACGUUUUUGUUCCCUUUUUGAAACUAGGGUUUCUGAACCCUUUUUUGAAAUCACUUUACUUUCUGAUUUUGAGUACUAAUCUGUGAUUCUUCCAUAUUUUGCUUAAGUCUGAUAAAACCCUAGCCUUAUAUGUUUACGUUUGUGUUGUUUGCUUAUUUUUGUGUUCGUAUGGGCUCUUCUUUUGGUCCCCAUGUUCUUUGAUUAACUUUGGUUACCAGUAUUUCAUUCUCAUAACAUUCUGUAUGUUACGUUUAAAGUCUCUCUAACUAUUUGUAUGUCGAUUUUGUACUGAUUCUUACAAGCCUCUUUUUGAAAUUGUGAUACUUGCCAUAAAAUUGGAUUUCGCGUAUUGUCCUUAUAGUUUGGGAUUAAUAUUAAACUUUCUUCCUCAAUCUGUGGGAUACUUUCGUCAACUGCUGAUGGUCUCCUAAGCUUUUAAUCUCGAUCCUUAUUUUUGGGGAUUACUGCCCAAAAUUGGAGCGGUAUACCGCCCCAUAUGUGCAUGAUGAUUGAUUUGCUUGAUCUGUUUCCCUAAUUAUACUAUCAUGUAUUGCAAACUUUGUGCUAUUCUUUUCCUUAUGUUAUCAUACCUUGUGAUUUCUUUCCUUUAAAACAGUUGCUUAUUAUCGUUUAACUUUGAUUCCUUAAUUAAAGGGUAGUCCUUAUACUGAUUUGAUUAUGAUUGAUGCCGGUUCCUUAAUUAGGGAUUGCUGCCUUAUUCGUUUACUCGUAUUCAGUACUAUAUGUACCCUCCCCCAUUCUCUUUGCAAGAUACCAACACAUUGCAUAUCAUUUGACAUACACAGACACGAAUACACUCAGUGUUCUGCUGGCCUCUAAUGUGUUACUUGAUUUGGGUCUGCCUGCUGCUCUGCUCUCUGCUCUCUGCUUCUCUCUGCACACUACUGCUCACCUCUCUGCACAAUAUUGCUUACUAAUUCUCUGUAAUUACAUUAUUUUUCAACUGGUAUGUAUCCUAUUUAAGUUAUAGCCUCAAAAACAACAUGCUUCUAUUGGUGUUACACUUUCUUUCGUUCCUUGUGUGCUUCUACAUGUGGUUCUGCUACUCCUAUUGCAACUAGCAUGCAUCUGUGUUAAUUAGUGAGACUAAUUAGUAAGCCUAGCAUAUUAAUUACCCCCAACCUCCCUUGCCUACCCCAAUGCGAGUUUCCCCUUUGCUUUUGUAUACUACUAGCAACCUCUUAGCUACUCCAUAGCCCCAAAACCUCUUUCUAAGGAUGAUUUGGUUUGGUGUCUGUGCUAUAAGAACUGGACUCCUGUUUGAAGCAUGAACUCUCCUGUGUGUGACAGAUUGUCUUGUAAGUUGUUUGUUCCCUUUGCCUUUGCAUUUGCCUUUGCCUUUGUGACUGUUGCUUUCAAAACCAUCCUCAAAGUAACUGUUUUCAAAUCAGUUAAAAUUUUAACUCUUCUUUUGUUUUUCUCAAAUUGUCCUUCAUGUAAAGCCUUUCUCAGCUCAACCCCUUCAAAUUCUAUCACAAUCACAGUACUAUUAGAAUUAGGAUAUGCCCACGUUGUGUAAGCAUUGCUUUGGGUACCUAGAGUACCCACUAAACUUUAAUGCACAAGGUUGGCAAUUUCACAUUUGCACUUAUCAAUGGCGAUUUGUUUUGGGUGCCUGUUAUUGACCGGGGUCUCAAGAGACCCCUAGGGAACUUUGCCGUACCCAAACUCUUAGUGAAGGGUGUAAAGCUCGAAAGAAGUGAGGUUAGAGGUCUGGGCCUGGAUGAAGUCCCCUAAAGAAUAGCUUCUUGUUUUACUCUUCACUAUUGUAAUUUAAUUACUUAAUCUGUAAUAACUUGUAAAGAACUAUUGGGUUUAUAGUGCAAUUAGAGAGGGA
rnacentral:lncRNA from 1 species